AACAGGAUUAGAUACCCUGGUAGUCCACGCUGUAAACGAUGGAUGCUAGUUGUUGGGGGGUUCCCUCUCAGUGACGAAGCUAACGCAUUAAGCAUCCCGCCUGGGGAGUACGGUCGCAAGAUUAAAACUCAAAGAAAUUGACGGGGACCCGCACAAGCGGUGGAGCAUGUGGUUUAAUUCGAGGCAACGCGAAGAACCUUACCAGGCCUUGACAUGUCCAGUUUGAUUACCAGAGAUGGUUUUCUUCACCUCGGGUGGCUGGAACACAGGUGCUGCAUGGCUGUCGUCAGCUCGUGUCGUGAGAUGUUGGGUUAAGUCCCGCAACGAGCGCAACCCUCGUCCUUAGUUGCCAUCAUUCAGUUGGGAACUCUAAGGAAACUGCCUAUGAUAAGUAGGAGGAAGGUGGGGACGACGUCAAGUCAUCAUGGCCCUUACGGCCUGGGCUACACACGUGCUACAAUGGUAGUGACAAUGGGAAGCAAACCCGCGAGGGUAAGCCAAUCUCCAAAAACUAUCUCAGUUCGGAUUGUACUCUGCAACUCGAGUACAUGAAGUUGGAAUCGCUAGUAAUCGUAGAUCAGCAUGCUACGGUGAAUACGUUCCCGGGUCUUGUACACACCGCCCGUCACACCAUGGGAGUUGUUUCUGCCUUAAGUCGGUGAGCCAAUCUGGCAGCCGCCCACGGCAGGGAUGAUGACUGGGGUGAAGUCGUAACAAGGUAACC
rnacentral:rRNA from 1 species